rnacentral:sRNA from 1 species
CGCAUACCUGACUUACAGACUAAUUAAUAUUUGUGCUUAGUAAGAUAAGAAGACUAAUUAAUAUUUGUGCUUAGUAAGAUAAGAAGACUAAUAUUGAUGUCUGGCAAGUUUAGUUGAAGAGUUGAUUAUAGUUAUUGUUUUUUCUUUGUCAGUGUUUUUCUUGAUCAUAGUUUCUUAAUUGAAAUUUCAAUAUUGCCAGAAUGCUAUGGUUUGAGUCAUUCAAUAAAUUCUUUUUUUUUUGGUCAAGUUUCAAAGUGAACUUCGAAGGAUACUUAUAUCAUUAAUAGAAGCAUCACAACGUGUUUUAUGUCUGAACCCAGAGGCUGCAAAAAUAUUUCAACAAGCUGAAGACAUGUUGAAUGAAGCCCCUACGAGGAAAACUGGUUUGUCUGAAGCUAACAUAAAACAAUUGACAGAUAUGGGCUUUCCAGCUCAUAGAGCAAAAAAAUCUCUUUUGUUAAACCAACAGUCUGUAACAGCAGCCAUGGAGUGGCUUCUUGCUAAUGAAUCUGAUCCCGAUAUUGACAA